AAGUGAAAAAGACAAAGGAAAAGCGAAAUAGGUCAAAAGAAGAAGAAGACGCAGCAGGGACGGCCAACGCAGCCAAGGCCGGGGUGCAUCAGCAGAGCCUUCAAUGUCACCAGCGGUAGCGGGGCCCCCAGUGGCUUGGGUUGAAUUCCAAAGGUGUCCUGUUUGUACCAAGAGAUUGUUCACACCAAGCUCUGAAGCAGAUCUGGCCGCUGCCGUGACCAGUUGCUUGAUUGCUGCUGGGGACUGGAUGCCACACAUUAGAGGUGCAUGUCAUUGUUGGAAAGGAUUGUCCAUAAAACACCAUCACAUCUGAACAUACCUGCAAGUGAGUCACAACAUCUUGCAGCAGCAAUGUUGACAGCGCAUUUCCUUCCUGCUGGACCCGUGAAUCCCCCCCAUACAAGGAGUCGUUGCCUUCAACUGUAAGAAAUUAUAUUACAAAUGAAAUAACAAAUUGUUACUUUUAUAUAUCCUACAAUAUGUAUACUCAUGUAGAACUAAAUAAAAAUAUAGAGAAGUGCA